rnacentral:lncRNA from 1 species
CACUCUGUUCUUAUUUGGAGAUUGGACUCUGAAUUUUAACACAGUAUUCGUGUACCUGUGUUACUUUGUAAAAAAAAUAACUGUAGCUUCUUAUUUGUACAUACCAAUGUGAAAAUCUAUUCUUUAUGUUGAGAUUACUUUCUAAUCAGGAAGUUUGAGUGCUAUGCAAAUAAUGUAGUGAUUUUGCUUUGCAUGCCAUGUGUAAUAUAUGUAGCCAAAAAUAGAUGAGGUGGCUUGGCUUUUUUUUUUUUUUUUUAAGCAGAUUACUUUAAAGCAAAUAUAAUUCACUUGAAUUUGAGACUGAAGCAGAUGAGUUUUCUGGGUUUUCUGAUAACCUGUAGGAAUGUUUGGAUGUCAGCUAGGCUCAGUGAAUCCCCAGUGUACUGUAAUAAUGGUUAUUUACCUCUGUGCUGUUUUAAUUACCUAAUGUCUGUGUAACUGCUGAUUUGAGUAGUGAUUAUUAGCAUUUGGAUAUUUUAUAACAUAGGAUUUUAGAGAGCACUUUGAAAGAACAUUUUAUUAUGAUGGUGCUAGCUAGGAAAAAAUUGUAAAGAUUGGGAUGGUUAUGUGGAAAAGAGAAUUCUUGGGAGAACCUGCUGGAAGGAAUUUGUCAUCACCUAAGGUAGGACAGUUGUUGAAGGAACUGUUUAUGCCAGUUUUUUUCUUAGCGUCUGGCUGAAUUAUUGAAUGAGAAGUUUAGAGGGUCCUUUAUUUUCAGCCCAUGCUUUUUUUUCUUUUAAAAUGUAGGAUUAGCUUACCUGAUAAUUUUAUUAUGAAAAUCACAUUUUUAUGUAAAUACCAGAUUCAAUAUAAGUUUGAUCUCAGGAGUCCAAAAGAAAUUGUGGUUUCCAGUGUCCUUCAUUUUAUUGACUGGGGUUUGAUCUGUUUCUAGCAGUGUUUGAAAAUUGGAUAGGAAAGGAUACUGUUAUUCACUGUCAUUCUCUUACCUCAGUUAAGCAACACAAUACUCUAUAGCUUUUGAGGGAAACACUGAUUUGCUUCUUUCCCCUGUCUCAUCUCCAGGGCAUGAUGGAAACAGUGCUGAAAGAGAAAUUUAGCAGAUGGUACUUUUCUUAGUAACCUCUGGAAUAAAAGAACUCUGAUAGUUUUUAAAUUGUCAGUCUUUGUGGGAGGUCAGUUUUUUUUCCUUUAGGUUUGUUUUUAACUGUAUUAGUCUAGGGGAUUUUUGCCUUAUGCUGAGGUCAAAACUAGGGCCAAGUACGCUUUUGUCCUUUAUAUUAACCGUAUGUCAUAUUGUAUGUUGUUAUGAGAUGAAUUUCUAUAUAAGAAAAGAAACAAAAAGAAUUGAGAAUCAUUUGUAUUUUGAUUUGGAAAUUAUGAAACAUCACUAUAGUAUGAUCAGACAGAUUUUCAAGAACAAAUGCUUAGACUGACCAAAGCUCACCUGUUUUUGAGUUAGGUGCUUUUGCUGAGCUUGAAUCCAGCCCCUAUUCCUUUUAGUACUGUGUAUGUCUGUUCUUCAAGUUUGUUUCCUGUCAAAUACAUCUUCAGUUCUUGCCCAUGUGCUCCUUGGCAGCUGGGAUACCAACAGCUGUGUAGUCCUCAUGUUGUUUCCUGGUAACCCACAAGUCCACUUUCAAGGCAGACCUAAGCUCAGACCCUGUCUUCAUCUGACAGGAGUUGGUUUUCCCAAACCACAGUGCUGAGAUGCGUAUUUGAUGCAGCUCUUAUUCUUGCAGUGUGUUGUUUCUUUGUGACUCAAGGGUGAACUAAAAUGCCUGUGAACUGCAAACUUAUGAUUGACUUGGUGCAAUAAAGUUCCUUUCUAACCAUUUCUGGUUUAGAAAAUACUCAGCCAUCCUAGAAACUAGCAAUAUUUAUUUUUGCCUCAUUUAUUUUACCUUCAGUUUUAGAUACUUUUUGUCUGUUCAUUUAUGGGUACUAAUCAAAGUCCAUUCUUGUGUAGCUGAAGAGAAUACAUAUUUGGCUACACUGUUCACUGUAUUUUGCUCCCUAUUUUGUCUAAAUGCUAUUGUUUUUCUUUUACAAUGGUAAAAAUGAUUCACUUCCAGUGUGUUACCAUCAAAGAACUAAGGCUUUGCUACUAGUGUCAGCCAUUUACUCUCCCAUUAAUAGGGAUUUUUAAAAAGAGGUUUUUCCCCCCUGAGAUACAAGUUUUAGAAAAUCUUAUAAGAGGGGUGGGUGCAUGUCUUAAUGCUGGGAAGCAGCAACUUUGGGGUUGAAUUUACUUGAAUGGGUUAAAAUUGCAUUGUUAACAGAGCUAGAAAAAUUUACAUAUGAAAAAUGAUAAUAGCCUUACACUGAGUACAAAUAAUACUUAAGCAUGUGAAGAUGUGAUCAUUUGUGAUGUUACUUGUAAAAAAAGUAUAUAUACAUAUCUUUUGAAGUGUUGAAAGG